GAACCGCGUGAAGGAUCAUUAACGAGAGGGGUUUUCGGACCCCGGGGCUUCGGCCCCUAACUCUUCACCCUCUGUCUACGUACUAUGUUGCUUUGGCGGGCCUUGGGGCUCGCCCCUGGCCGGUCGGUGGCUUAGCGGCCCCGGCUCGCUCGUGCCCGCCAGAGGCCCAUGAAACCCAACCUUAUCGUUUGUCGUCCGAGCCAAAAUAAUCGUAAAAACUUUCAACAACGGAUCUCUUGGUUCUGGCAUCGAUGAAGAACGCAGCGAAAUGCGAUAAGUAAUGUGAAUUGCAGAAUUCAGUGAAUCAUCGAAUCUUUGAACGCACAUUGCGCCCCUCGGUAUUCCGGGGGGCAUGCCUGUUCGAGCGUCAUUACACCCCUCAAGCUCCGCUUGGUAUUGGGUCCUUCGCUCUUCGGGGCGGGCCCGAAAGUUAGUGGCGGCCCGGCGUGACUUCGAGCGUAGUAAUCUUUCUCCCGCUCUGGGAGCUCACGCCGUGACCGGCCAGAACGCCCAAAUUUUUCAAUGAUUGACCUCGGAUCAGGUAGGGACACCCGCUGAACUUAA
rnacentral:rRNA from 1 species